rnacentral:lncRNA from 1 species
GCGCAACAACAGCAGUCCUCCAAAGAGAAUGUUUGAAUUGAAUUAUAUGAAGCCCUCCUUUCUUCAAAUGAAGUCACGGACUCUGAUGGCACUGGCUUGUCAGGCAGGACGACCGGACUGGGAAAGAGACCAGGCUGUUGUCCAGCUCUAAUGAUGUCCUAGAGCAGAAGUGUUUCUUCUGAUGUCUCAUUUUAACAAGAGGAUGAUGUCUGUGUAUGUCUCUGUGUUUUAGAGAGGCUGGCAAAUGCUGCUAAGAGGAUCUGAGGUUCACAUAAAGAGGAUGAAAAUUCUGAAUUACUUUCAUUGCAAAUAAACCUUAACAAUUGUGAGAGUUAGAGAGCAUACUUUUCACAUAAGACUUUGGUAUGCUGCCUAAAGCUACUUACAUAAUUUGCUAUUCAGAGAAAUGCAUUUGUUUAUUGAGGACCCACCCGGACU